AAGAGUUUUCACACUCAGACCCGACGCGUACCUGAAACUGUUGCUUCGGCGGGCCGCUGGCUCUUGCCGCGCCCGCCGAAGGUUUACAUUAGGCUCUUAGCUGGGGUGCUAUUCCCCAUACUGUCCUCUGAAUCGCUUCCAAACUAGUCA
rnacentral:misc_RNA from 1 species